AAACCAACAGGGAUUGCCUUAGUAACGGCGAGUGAAGCGGCAAAAGCUCAAAUUUGAAAUCUGGCACCUUCGGUGUCCGAGUUGUAAUUUGAAGAAGGUAACUUUGGAGUUGGCUCUUGUCUAUGUUCCUUGGAACAGGACGUCACAGAGGGUGAGAAUCCCGUGCGAUGAGAUGCCCAAUUCUAUGUAAAGUGCUUUCGAAGAGUCGAGUUGUUUGGGAAUGCAGCUCUAAGUGGGUGGUAAAUUCCAUCUAAAGCUAAAUAUUGGCGAGAGACCGAUAGCGAACAAGUACAGUGAUGGAAAGAUGAAAAGAACUUUGAAAAGAGAGUGAAAAAGUACGUGAAAUUGUUGAAAGGGAAGGGCUUGAGAUCAGACUUGGUAUUUUGCGAUCCUUUCCUUCUUGGUUGGGUUCUCCGCAGCUUACUGGGCCAGCAUCGGUUUGGAUGGUAGGAUAAUGAUUAAGGAAUGUGGCUCUACUUCGGUGGAGUGUUAUAGCCUUGGUUGAUACUGCCUGUCUAGACCGAGGACUGCGU
rnacentral:rRNA from 1 species